UGCGUUCUUUAUCCUAUUUCGAUUCGAUUUAGCUUUCUUUUAGUUGCUAUGUCUUUAUUUUGAAGAAAGGUGGAUCUAUAGGGGAAAGGAUAAAUAUAUAGUAUCAAUAAUAAGAUAGUUUGAUUUUCUUGUUUGCAUAUGUGUAUUGUCUAAUCUAUGAGAAUCAAGUUGUUCCCCUUCCGUAAACGCAUAUAGGGAAUUGGGCC
rnacentral:lncRNA from 1 species